CUGGGGAUGGAAACUUAGCCCUUUCACAUGGUAGGUAAAUAAAUUACCCCUGAGCAAGACCUCCAGUCCCUGGGUAGGUUUAUCUUUUGAAUGUAAAGUAAUAUUUACUGACUUACAAAAAUACAACAGAGGUGACACUGCUGUUUCUUGUUAUGAUGCUAGACGUCUGUUUUAUUUCCACAGACUAAGACAUGAACAGGUGCAAGAAGGGCCUAACAGUGUUUUGACCAACUGACACCAGAAGAAUCCUGACCCCUGAGCCCUUAGUUCCGGUCUGCUGAGUCACCAUUAAGUAACGAAAAGUGAUUUUCACUUUUUGAAUGAAGAGGAGGGUGCCUGAUCAAAGCAGUAGAAAAACUGGAAUUGGCUGUGCCUGUUUGCUAUGGAACGGUUUUCUUCAAAAUUCGGCUUAAGUGAAGAGGGAACCAGCACAGGGCGAAGAUGACAACCAAGCAGAAGACGGUCUUUGCCACCUCUCGACGCUAAGGGCAAGAGUGUGCAAACAAGCAUCAUGGUUAUUUCUGGAGGCUAACAUGGCUUCCUGUGAUAGUUUGACCAGUUCCUGAAGAUAGGAUCACCCUGUUCCCUGAAUACUGACAGCUUCUGUAUGAACAGGAGCCCUUUAUGACUGUUUAAGUAAUCUGAAAAUGAUUCCAGAAGACAGAAGUCCAGGCAAGUCUUUGUAACCACCACAAACCCCCUUGGAAAUCUGCUGAGAGUGAGAAUUCCUUCUGAGGACAAUAUUUUGUGUGUUUAUGCAUGUUCAUGUGUUCAUGUGCAUGUGUGCAUGUAUGUGUUCAUGUGUUCAUGUGUAUAGGACAGAAUGACUUUAGGUAUUAUUCUUUAAGAGCCCUUUGCCCUGUUUUUUGAGUCAGGGUCUCACAUGGGGGCCUUUCCAGUCCUCCUCCUUCCCAGCACUGGUUUUUACAAGCCUGUGCCAUCCUGACCAGCUUCUUGCAUAGCUUCUGGGGACUGAAUCUUAUCACUUUAUUAACUGAACUAACUUUCCAGACCUCAACAUUAUAUUUUAAUAAGCACACAUUUAAAUAUAUGUGUCCACAAUGGAAAUCAAUUACACAGAAAUGGAGCUAGCAAAGUACUGAAAAUAAACUUCUGGUAAAGAUAUGUAUUCAUCAACAAAUUA